AUUGAACGCUGGCGGCAGGCUUAACACAUGCAAGUCGAGCGAGCGGCGGACGGGUGAGUAAUGCUUGGGAAACUGCCUGAUGGAGGGGGAUAACUACUGGAAACGGUAGCUAAUACCGCAUACCAUCAGAUGUGCCCAAGUGGGAUUAGCUAGUAGGUGGGGUAAAGGCUCACCGAGGCGACGAUCCCUAGCUGGUCUGAGAGGAUGCCCAGCCACACUGGAACUGAGACACGGCCCAAACUCCUACGGGAGGCAGCAGUGGGGAAUAUUGCACAAGGGGGGCAAACCUGAUGCAGCCAUGCCGCGUGAGUGAAGAAGGCCUUCGGGUUGUAAAGCUCUUUCAGCGGGGAGGCGUUACUCGCAGAGGAAGCACCGGCUAACUCCGUGCCAGCAGCCGCGGUAAUUC
rnacentral:rRNA from 1 species